CUUGAAAGGCAUGUUGCUCAUCUGAAUCAUGAGACUGUCCGAGAGUGAGGAUAAUAAGUAGAUGCUCCUGCUCUAGAUGACAGUGCCCCAGGCCUUGGGGUAGUGGUGACAAAUAGCUUGUUUCCAAUGUCUCUGUUGUUGCCUGGAUCAUUCACUUGCUGGAGCUCAGCACAGUUCUAAAAAUACUUCUCUUCAUUGACUUCUUACAUGAGAUGACUGUGAUCCACGUCGUCAAAUACCCUCCUUUAUCUGAGAUGUCUAUUUUUCUAAGCCAAACACUUUUCAGACUGCAGAAUGUUCUUCGCAGAAUCAUUUUGAAAUUUCUAGCUGCCUUACUUGUUUACAUGUUAUGUUAAAACUAUUUAAAUGUCUUCUUAUAGGGCUGGAGGUGUAGCUUGGGGGGCGAGCAGGUACAAGGCCCUGGGUUUCAUCUGCAGCACCGCAAAACAUAAAUAAAUUUCUACUUAGGAUUUGCUCUUCCACAAAAUAAAACCUUUGGGCUGGGGAUUUAGCUCAGUGGUGCCACCACCUGCCUUGCAAGCGUAAGGUCCUGAGUUCGAUCCCCAGUACCAAAAAAAAAAAAAAAAAUCCUUUAAUGUCACAGUAGUGUGUGGGGUUAAACUCGUCUAAAAUGAAUGUAUUUGUCACCACUCAGUUAUCUUUGGCAGUUAGAAUAGGAAUGCUACUAGGAACUGGGACCACAGAAUGUUACCCCACACCUAAUGUUAGCCAGCAGCUUCAGUUGGAUUCUGGCAAGCCCUUCUGAGCUGUUUACAAGUGAUUAAGCAGACAAGUCUCCUUUUGCGCAUCUCCAUUAUUUACCCCCCUCUGAGGUCUAGUGGGAGGAUGUGUAAUGAAAGGACCAAAAUAACAAUAAUAAAAGGCAGCUAAUGGGAAGGAAAAACAAAAGCCUGGCUAAUAUACACACCAUUACCUCCAAUGACUUGAGAAUUGCCUGUAAACUACUGUAGAUAAUAAAUCGCAUGUCAUAUGCUAUCUGGUUUAACACAACAACCUAUUUGUUAUCAUUACAAUUUUGACUACUAUUAAAGAAGCCAGCUCUCUGUUUUGAUAAAAGUAAUCUUAAAAGCUGAGGCAAUGCUAUGUGUAUUUACUGAAACAUUGGGGGGAUUAGAUUGAAAGACAUAUUGUGUGUUUUAAAACUUCACUACUUUCAUUUUCUGACAACACCAACUUAACAGGAGGCAGUGUUAAAUAUUUUGAAUGGUGCUAUUGUGUUCGGAUGCUCACACUGGCAGGUAUGCAUCAUAACUGACCCAGCUUUAAUUACAUCCAAGUCAGACCUGCUCACGGUCACUUUGUACAGUUCAGUGACUUACUGUAUUUAUGGAAGUGGUGACUCCUACCGAAUCAGUAGAAGUUCCCUUUUUACAAAAAUAGAGUAAGACCUGCUUGCAAUAUUCAUGUUGACAUCAGAAUAAUGCGAAGAAUUACAGCAAAUAUUUCCUGUUUGUUAUUAUACAGUUCUUUGAAGAUAUCAUAAAGGUUUAAUUGUAUAUUUAUAUCAUGUGCUUUAUGGUUUUCUCCUCAUAUUCCCAAGUGAUUUUUUUAUUUACAUAUAUCUAAAUAAAGUUUGUCCUCUUUAAAGGUGAUCAGUGAGUUUUUGUAUAAAUUAUCAGGGUUAGGGCCAGGCGUGGUGGAGCAUGCCUGUAAUCCCAGCACUUGAGAAGCAGAGACGGGAGGGUUGCCUUGAGUUCAAGGCUAGCCCUCAGCUACAUAGUGAGUUCAGGGCCGGCCUGAACUACAAAGUGAGACCCUGUCUCAAAAAUCCAAAAGAAGAAAACAUUUUUAAAAUAAAU
rnacentral:lncRNA from 1 species